rnacentral:rRNA from 1 species
UACGGAGGAUUCAAGCGUUAUCCGGAUUUAUUGGGUUUAAAGGGUGCGUAGGCGGUCGGAUAAGUUAGAGGUGAAAUCCCGGGGCUCAACUUCGGAAUUGCCUCUGAGACUGUUCGGCUAGAGAGUAGUUGCGGUAGGCGGAAUGUAUGGUGUAGCGGUGAAAUGCUUAGAGAUCAUACAGAACACCGAUUGCGAAGGCAGCUUACCAAGCUACUUCUGACGUUGAGGCACGAAAGCGUGGGGAGCAAACAGG